rnacentral:rRNA from 1 species
UACGUAGGGUGCAAGCGUUGUCCGGAAUUAUUGGGCGUAAAGAGCUCGUAGGCGGUGUGUCGCGUCGGCUGUGAAAACCCGGGGCUCAACCCCGGGCCUGCAGUCGAUACGGGCAGACUAGAGUGCGGUAGGGGAGACUGGAAUUCCUGGUGUAGCGGUGAAAUGCGCAGAUAUCAGGAGGAACACCGGUGGCGAAGGCGGGUCUCUGGGCCGUAACUGACGCUGAGGAGCGAAAGCGUGGGGAGCGAACAGG